GCAGCUCGCCAAUCAGCGGCCGGCGACAUAAGCUGAUGUGACGGCGGAUCGCGCGACCUAAAUCAGCGUGGUCGCGGCGGUCACGUGGUCCCUGUGUACUCUUCCGUGCUCCCUACCCCACCCCCCCAAGCCCCACCCCGGUCCGCCACUCUACCGGGACUAUCCAGGCGCUAGUUGACGCUGCUGCGAGGCGAAGCGUGUUUUCCUUCCCACUUUCUUCCCGCCCAGCAGGUUUACGAGAAUGAUGCAAAGGACCCGGGAUGAGUGCAAAAUGACAGCCUGAAGGAGGAUUAAAAAACGCUUCCUUUGACGUUAAUGGCGGAGUCUUUUGUCCCAUUCCUGUGGCUCAAACGUCCGUCAGUCCGCACUUAUUUUUCACUUCCCUGCAAGUCCUCUUAUGCAGCAUUCAAAUAUUUUAUGUCCGAAGAAAUUUCCCUCCAAUGAAGAGGGCUUGCAGAAAACUGCUACACAACAUCCAUGUCAUCAUGAAUAAUCAGCAGGGAACCAAAUGUGAGAACAUUGAAGCCUAUGGAAGACAUCUCCUAUUCAAGCUACAACAUCCUUCACAAAGUACUUGCUUCACCAUGGGUGAAAACAAUUGUAGACUCAGAGCCAUGGGAGGAAUGGUGAGAGGAGACAUCCUGGUGGGUGAAUCAGAAGUAACUCCAUGGAGUAAGGAGCAGAAUGAAGCAAUCCUUUGUGUAAAUAACCACAUGAAGGGACCGAGUAUCAGCUCAAGAUGUCCCAAGACCAAGUUCUCAGGACCAAGGAGAUGUAUUUGCCUCUGAGGGAUGAAGGACAAGGAAGAAGAGACAAAGACGGGAUAAAAACAGGAUGAAAGAAAAGGGGGAAAGAAACAAGGGUGAGGGGAAGGGCUAUUUGAGAGGGUGGGGGGAGUUGGAGGAGGAAGGACUGCCUCUGGAUGGCAAGGACAAAUAAAUGGGGGUUUAUGAAGGUAGAAGAGGAAACCCCAUACUAGGAUGAGGUAUUUAAUUUUAAUUGGGCAUGUUAGUUAGGUGACCUGAAUGGAAACUCAAAGAAGGCUGAAAAGUUCAAUGUUCAAGCAGAGAUUGCCUUUUUAUGGCAAUAUUUCAUGGGAGAUGUUGCAUUUUUAAAGUGCUCUUGUGUUUCUUCUGGUUAUUUUUCUGCAUUAAAAGACCAGAGGAUUGUUAUAAGUUAAAAAAUAAAAGAGAUUCAGGACUGAAAA